AUUGAACGCUGGCGGCAUGCCUUACACAUGCGAGUCGAACGGCAGCACGGGUGCUUGCACCUGGUGGCGAGUGGCGAACGGGUGAGUAAUACAUCGGAACAUGUCCUGUAGUGGGGGAUAGCCCGGCGAAAGCCGGAUUAAUACCGCAUACGAUCCACGGAUGAAAGCGGGGGACCUUCGGGCCUCGCGCUAUAGGGUUGGCCGAUGGCUGAUUAGCUAGUUGGUGGGGUAAAGGCCUACCAAGGCGACGAUCAGUAGCUGGUCUGAGAGGACGACCAGCCACACUGGGACUGAGACACGGCCCAGACUCCUACGGGAGGCAGCAGUGGGGAAUUUUGGACAAUGGGCGAAAGCCUGAUCCAGCAAUGCCGCGUGUGUGAAGAAGGCCUUCGGGUUGUAAAGCACUUUUGUCCGGAAAGAAAUCCUUGACUCUAAUACAGUCGGGGGAUGACGGUACCGGAAGAAUAAGCACCGGCUAACUACGUG
rnacentral:rRNA from 1 species